rnacentral:rRNA from 1 species
AAUAGAUACCCUGGUAGUCCACGCCGUAAACGGUGGGCACUAGGUGUGGGCAGCAUUCCACGUUGUCCGUGCCGUAGCUAACGCAUUAAGUGCCCCGCCUGGGGAGUACGGCCGCAAGGCUAAAACUCAAAGGAAUUGACGGGGGCCCGCACAAGCGGCGGAGCAUGUGGCUUAAUUCGACGCAACGCGAAGAACCUUACCAAGGCUUGACAUACACCGGAAACAUCCAGAGAUGGGUGCCCCCUUGUGGUCGGUGUACAGGUGGUGCAUAGCUGUCGUCAGCUCGUGUCGUGAGAUGUUGGGUUAAGUCCCGCAACGAGCACAACCCUUGUCCCGUGUUGCCAGCAGGCCCUUGUGGUGCUGGGGACUCACGGGGAGACCGCCGGGGUCAACUCGGAGGAAGGUGGGGACGACGUCAAGUCAUCAUGCCCCUUAUGUCUUGGGCUGCACACGUGCUACAAUGGCCGGUACAAAGAGCUGCGAUACCGUGAGGUGGAGCGAAUCUCAAAAAGCCGGUCUCAGUUCGGAUUGGGGU